rnacentral:rRNA from 1 species
CGAACGCUGGCGGCGUGCUUAACACAUGCAAGUCGAACGAUGAAGUGGAGCUUGCUCCACGGAUUAGUGGCGAACGGGUGAGGAACACGUGAGAAACCUGCCUCGGAUUUUGGGAUAACAAAUGGAAACGUUUGCUAAUACCAAAUAACGUCGGAGAGUCACAUGACUUUCUGACGAAAGGAAUUCCGAUUCGAGAGGGUCUCGCGGCCUAUCAGCUUGUUGGCGGGGUAAUGGCCCACCAAGGCAACGACGGGUAGCUGGUCUGAGAGGAUGGUCAGCCACACUGGGACUGCGACACGGCCCAGACUCCUACGGGAGGCAGCAGUGGGGAAUAUUGCGCAAUGGACGAAAGUCUGACGCAGCGACGCCGCGUGUGGGAUGAAGCCUUUCGGGGCGUAAACCACUGUUGCCCGGGACGAACCUCCCCAUUCGUGGGGACUGACGGUACCGGGUGAGGAAGCACCGGCUAACUCUGUGCCAGCCG